rnacentral:lncRNA from 1 species
UUACAUCUUUGAUACAUUGUUUCAUACAUGUACGAGCAAAGAAGGAAAGGAAGGAAUGUCAUUGACAAUUAUGAGAUCUAUCUUUAUUGACUCAGCGAUGAUGAUUGCAAAGGUUUGCAACCAAAAUCUUGGCUUUUGAUUUGUUGUUGGAGGUCUCCUCCUGUUCUUUUGUUCCUUUUUCUCUUUAGGGAAUCGGCCCCGCUUUCUUGCCUUCUUACCAUCCAUUUAUACUACCAAUGUUCUCCUUUGUCCAACGGUCUUUAACCAGAACAUCCUCUCUUGAUUAUACUUUUCAUUUUUCCCUUCAAGCAUUACGACACAUGUUUCGCGUACAAGCUUAAUGAUGGCUCGAUCUCGGCAAUGGCCGAGAUACUUAUCGUUGUUAUGUCUUGUGAAUACGACCACGGCUCACUCGACCCCUUAUCAUUUCUUUUAGCGUCUAUCCACGCGUGGACAAAUUUUGACCCAUACACAUGCUAAUUUUGUAGAAUUUCUUUGACGAACUUUGUAUAGGAAAUAUAUGAAGGAAGUCACUUCUUUGAAAAGCGACAUACAAAUAUUGAACGAAGAACUGUAAGAUCCUGUUUAUUUAGGAAGAAUAAUGUAAUCUUUGUCUACUAAAUUGACUUGUUUGGUCUGAAACUUGAAAGGAUGAGAUGAAAAAGACAUCAAAUUUGCUACUAGUAAAGUUGGAAGGAGAGGAUAUGAGAAACAUGAUUAUAGCAAUGCAGGAUAGUGUAGAUUUUUUAUUGAAGCUAGAUGGCUCUUCUCCAGUGUAGAUCUUUAUUACUAUCGAUUGUUUCAUUUGCUCCAGCUUUCUUAUUAUGUUGCUGCUGUUGGUACUGCUUCGUGUUACUGCUUCCUCACUAUGAUUUCUCCACUAUUGUAUUUCUUUUCAAUAAUGUUGUGACUUUGCUUUUCCUGAGCCAAGGGUCUAUCGAAAACAAUCUCUUUACUUUCACAAGGUAGGGGUAAGCCUGCGUACACACUACCCUCCCCAGAUUCCCUUUUCCAGAGACGAGGGUCUAUCGAAAACAGUCUCUCUAUCUUCACAAGGUUAGGGUAAGGUUGCAUAUACAUACCCUCCCCAGACCCUACUUGUAGGAUCAGGUUUUUUGUUGUUGUUGUUGUUGUGUUUAUUCAGCUGAACAUGGAUAUAGUGGAAGAUGAUGAAGUAUAGCAGGUAAAGUAGGAACGUAUCUGAACUCUGAUAAUAGGAAUGGUUUUGAGCCUUUAUUGUAUGUCCUCUGUUCUUAUGAGGUUCCUAUCAUUGCUGCUGUUGUAAUUCCUUACAUUCCUUCUAUAUAGAUUUUCAAAUCCAAAGAAAAGAAAUAAAUAUAUUUGCCGUGAAAAUAGAAAUCCUCUCACUUUUCUUAUAUAUAUCAUAGUACUGAACUUAAUAUUGAAAAAUUGUUGGGGUCACUCAUUCUGUCAUUGACUAAUCUGAAGAGGAUAAUUUCAAAGAAUAGAUGAUGAAUGGGAGCCUUGUAGUAACGGUAAAAUAGUCUUCUUGUGACUUACAGGUUACGGGUCCGAGAUACGGAAUCAGCCACUAAUGUUUGCAUUAUGAUAGGUUGUCUAUAUCAUUACCCUUGGGUGCGGCCCUUUCCCGGAUCCUAUAUGAACGCGGGAUGCCUUGUGCACCCGACUGUCCUUUUUAUUUUAGAUGAUGAAAAGAAAGUUAGUAAAGACUUGUUCAACACUCAUUAAGUAAGGGAAUGAAUGUUCAUGGGAUCACUCAAAAUCUCUGAUCUUUAUUGCCUUUAAAAUACAAGAGUUUCCAAUACAAGACAGAAUUUCUAUAUCUCAUUUUAAUUGCAAAAUGUGUAAAAUAUUAUUUGUAGGAUUCAAGUUGUAUUCUAUCAGUAUACCCCGGUAAGACCCCAGAAAAAAUAGGGGUAGCUAAACCAGCUUGGCAUUAUCAACUCAUUUCCUCAUGGUUAAACUUUCAAUGAUCUCUGGAAAUCAUGUUCGAACACACGAUGAUUCAUAAAGGAAAACUUCCUGUGAGGCGAAUGUGAUCUAACGUGCUUCGCAAACCAUACUUAUUGACAGAUGCAUAAGCAGAUCUAAAUCCUCCACCAUAUGCUGGAGAAGCAUCAUGUGCUAUCUGGUGCAUGAAAAAUUCACCCAACUUAUUCUCUGCUUGUGAUUUUCCGCCUUUCUUGGACGAUGACCAUGUAGACGAGGAUGAAGAAGUUGACGUAGAUGGCAUAUUUCUGGAUGCAGGCAUUACCUCUGAUUCAAGCCACAUGUGUGAAAGCACUUGGCAGAUUCCUUCCUCUACCUCAGGGCUGAGACCACGGUAUCCUGCAAAUUACAGAAGUUCUGAUUAUGAAACAUCAAGCUAUAGCCUAGUGCUUUCCUU